rnacentral:rRNA from 1 species
AAUAGAUACCCCGGUAGUCCACGCCGUAAACGAUGAGUGCUAGGUGUUAGGGGGUCCAACCCUUAGUGCCGAAGUUAACACAUUAAGCACUCCGCCUGGGGAGUACGGUCGCAAGACUGAAACUCAAAGGAAUUGACGGGGGCCCGCACAAGCGGUGGAGCAUGUGGUUUAAUUCGAAGCAACGCGAAGAACCUUACCAGGGCUUGACAUCCCUCUGACCGUUCUAGAGAUAGAGCUUCCCUUCGGGGCAGAGGUGACAGGUGGUGCAUGGUUGUCGUCAGCUCGUGUCGUGAGAUGUUGGGUUAAGUCCCGCAACGAGCGCAAUCCUUGUCCUUAGUUGCCAGCAUUCAGUUGGGCACUCUAGGGAGACUGCCGGUGACAAACCGGAGGAAGGUGGGGAUGACGUCAAAUCAUCAUGCCCCUUAUGUCCUGGGCUACACACGUGCUACAAUGGCUGGUACAAAGGGUAGCGAAGCAGUGAUGUGGAGCCAAUCCCAAAAAGCCAGUCACAGUUCGGAUUGUAGGCUGC